AAAGCCUGAUCCAGCCAUGCCGCGUGAGUGAUGAAGGCCCUAGGGUUGUAAAGCUCUUUCAACGGUGAAGAUAAUGACGGUAACCGUAGAAGAAGCCCCGGCUAACUUCGUGCCAGCAGCCGCGGUAAUACGAAGGGGGCUAGCGUUGUUCGGAAUUACUGGGCGUAAAGCGCACGUAGGCGGAUAUUUAAGUCAGGGGUGAGAUCCCGGGGCUCAACCCCGGAACUGCCUUUGAUACUGGGUAUCUCGAGUC
rnacentral:rRNA from 1 species